GUUUGCUCUAUAAUGACUGUGGUUGGGUAUGGUGAUCCAUAGUGAGUAUUGUUUGUAAGGUAAUCUAUAGUGACUGAUGUUGUGUAUUGUGCUCUGUAGUGACUGUCUUUGGAUAGGGUUCUCUAUAGUGACUGUUGUUGGGUAGAGUACUCUAUACUGACUGUUCUUGGGUAGGGUGCUGUAUUGUGACUGUUUUACAGUAAGUGCUCUACAGUUACUGUUGUUGAAUAGUGUGCUCUAUAGUAACUUGUUC
rnacentral:lncRNA from 1 species